AGGACAUGGAAAUUAGUAUGUAAUUCAAUACGUAACCAGAAAAUUAAUAGAAAAGCAGAUAAACUGAAAAGAUUUCUUUCAAAGAUGUCAGUCAAGGGAUUGAUGAGUGUCAUUUUUCUUGUCCUUUUAGUUUCCUUGGUAGUCAGUGCUGCCGCUCAUGAUCGGAAACAUGUACAAAGGCGAGAAGCUACCACCAAUACUACAGCAGCGGGUCAUACCACCUCACGGCCUCAAAACGGAGCAGGUGCUUUUAUACCAUUCCUGACUAUUUCCUGGACAAUGGGCUUGACAUUCUUUGUUGGCUUGUUACUUCGAAUGUAAUC